GGCCCCGCCUCCAGCGGGUGGGCGCGCGGCGUGCGCAGGGGGCGGUGGGAGGGCCCCGCGCGGCGCCACUAACCUGUGCUUACCGGGCGCCUGCUGUCUAUCGGCUCCUUCGCGACCUCCUCCGCCUGCAGAGCAUCUCCGGCCGGGGCCUUGGGCGAGUGACCGAGCCUCUCCUGGGUUGUCCCCAGGUUUGUCGGAGAGGGUGGUGACUUCACCUUGCAGGCAGGGUUGACCAUCUUAGCCGUUUUUAAGUGUACAGAUCAGCGGCGGGAAGUACGUUCACGCUAUUCCGCAGCCUCCGCCACCAUCCACAGGACGUUUCCACCAGUGAUGGUUUCACAGCGGACUGCCUUCCGAGGGGAGGCUCUGUCUUCACUCUCUUCUUGCCCAGCAGUCAGUCACUACGGAGUCUCCACCUGCUGAGUCCUGAGACACAGAAGGGCCCUGCCCUCCCCGAGCUUUUAGCACGUGAGACGGCAAGCAAACAAGGAACCCGACCGCUCCUUUGCAUCAGAUUAACCGCGGUCAGGCCUCUCCCAGCAUAGACACAAAAAUAAAAUCAGUAUCCUUUGCCCAUUCCAGCUAUCGCUUCCUCAGCUAACACCUCAAAGCAGUGGGUGGUCUCUCUCCACAGUCUCCUUUUCCCUAAGUCCCCUUCACUCCACUCCCUGGGAAAGAGGUCCCCUUCAGCAGGCAGGCCGUGCUGGCACAGGGAAGGAUGGCAGAGGGCAGGUGCACACCGGGAGGGAUGGCCAGGACAGGUGCACACGGGGAGGGAUGGCCAGGGCAGGUGCACACGGGGAGGGAUGGCCGGGGCAGGUGCACACAGGGUGGAAUGGCUGGGGCAGGUGCACAUGGGGCAGGGGCACACAGGGAGCUGGGAAGACAGUGGUGACAUUCCAGUUCUUAAGCUGGUGACAGGUGAUGGAUAGGUCAUUUUACUAACAGGAUUCAAGACUUAAGAUACGUGUUUCGCCUGUGUGGUUUUGUGUGCGCAUCAUUUUGCUCAGCCUGUCAUAACAGAGUACCACAGGCCACGAGGCAUAAACGACAGAAAUGCAAUCUCUCUCCGUUCUGGAGGCUGGGAGGCCAAGGGGCUGCUUCCUUCAAGGCUGGGAGGCGCCUCUGUCUGGGGCCUCGCUUGUGGGCUUGCUGGCCGUCUUCUGUGUGUGUGGUCACAUUACUUCCUUCCAUCUCUGUGUCCACAUUUCCUCUUUUGUAAGGGCGGAGCCACACUGCAUGAGGGCCACCCUCAUGACCUCCUUUUAACUUGAUUUCCUUUGCAAGGAUCCUGUCUUCAAAUAAGGUCACAUCUGAGGUCCUGGGGUUUAGUACUCCCACAUGUCCUUUUAAAGCCCAUAACAGUAUUUAUGAAAAAUUAUAGAAUGAACUGUUUUAAAAUGUUAUUUCCCUUGAAACAUUUAUAAGAAUGGUUACAGUAAAUUUUUAAAAACUGGCAAAACCUAGUGCCAAUGAAGAGAGUGCGCGGCUGGAGCCCUCCUACAUUGCUGGUAGGAAUGCAAAAUGGCAUAGCCCCUUGGAAAACAGUUUGGCGGGUUUGUAAAAAGUUAACAGUAACUCUACCAAGCAAACCAACACACACACUCCCGGGUAUUCGCCUAAGAGAGAUGGAGGCUGACAUUUGCACAGAAGCCUGAAUGCAAGUAUUUUUAGUGGCUUAUUCGUAAUUGCCAAAUACUGGAAAGCACCCAAGACUCCUUGAGCUGGCAAACGAACAGAUAGACUGUAGGACGUCUGUACAUCGGGACACUAACUCAGCAGUGAAUACCAACUGGUGUAGCAACACAGGUGAACCUGAGGUGCGCUCCACGUUGAGCCAGCCUCAAGACUGUAUCCUGCGUGAUUCCAUUUAGAGGACCUUCUGGACAAGGCAAAACGAGAGCGACAGGUGCUUUCCGGGGGGGAGCGGUUGGGGGAAGGGCUGAGUACGGAGGGGCAGAGGGAGGUUUCAGGGCUGAUGAAACCGCUCUUUAUCUUGAUGGUGGUGCUGGUGGUUCCUGGACUGUGUUGGUCAAGAUUCAUAAAACUCUGCAUUCAACAGGAUAAAUGUUGUCCUAUAUACGCUGUGGCUUCAUUUUGAAAAUCUUUUCAAAUGUAGUUUUCUCCCCAGCCAAGAUUUUCCUCCUUAGGAAGAAGGGGUACAUAAUGAAGAUUUAAAUGAAAGCAUUCAGAGGUGCUCAAUUAAUGUUUCCUCCGGGCCAGCACUUCCCAAACGACGCCCUGAAAUGGUGGCCUGCAGAGAGGGCUAUAGGGUACCCCCCUGGAUGAGAUAAAAGUGUUCCCCGGCCAGAUAGGAGCAGGAGACAGGUAAUAAAAUUUCAAAGGUUUAAUUACAGCCA